rnacentral:rRNA from 1 species
UUUUCCUACGGGACGCAGCAGUGGGGAAUCUUGCACAAUGGGCGAAAGCCUGAUGCAGCGACGCCGCGUGGGCGAAGAAGGCCUUUGGGCCGUAAAGCCCUGUCGGGAGGGAAGAAGGAAGCGACGGUACCUCCCAAGGAAGCCCCGGCUAACUACGUGCCAGCAGCCGCGGUAAUACGUAGGGGGCAAGCGUUAUCCGGAAUUAUUGGGCGUAAAGAGUACGUAGGUGGUUUUGUAAGCGCGGGGUGAAAGGCAGUGGCUUAACCAUUGUAAGCCUUGCGAAC